AUGGGGUUUACACAUAUUGCCCAGGCUGAUCUCGAACUUCUGGGCUCAAAUGAUUCCUCCUGCUUGGCCUCUCAAAGUUUUGGGAUUACAGGCGUGAACCACUGUGCCGGGCCACCAGUACUUCUUACAUAAUGCUUGCUGUAGCGAAUCUCUUUUUACUCAAGAUGCUAAAACUGGUGUUCAUGCAAUUAAAGACGAUAUGAACAUAGACAUUCAGAAGCAAUACUGUCAUCUUGAGAGCCAAUUACAUCAUUCCAGUGUCACAUUUCUAGAACCAAAAUGAGCCUGUGUCAGCUGCUAUAACAAAAUGCCUUAGUCUGGGUGGUUUAUAAAGUUUAUAAGCAAGAACUGUGAAUAAUAAAUUUGUUAUUAUAAAAAAACAACUUUCUUAUAGUUUCGGAGGCUGGGAAGCCAAUCAGUGUGCUGGCAUAUUUGGUGUUUGCAGAGGGUCUGCUUUCUGGUUCUUAAAUAGUGGCUUCUUGCUUUGUCCUCACAUGGUGGUUGGGGCAGGUCGGCUGUCUGGGGCCCCUUUUACGAGGGCAUUAAUCCCAUUCAUGAAGGCUCCACUCUCAUGACCUAAUCACCUCCCAAAGGCCCCACAUCCUUUCACACUGAUGAUCAGAUUUCAAUAUAUGAAUUUUGUGGCCAGGGUGACACAAACAUUCAGACCACAGCACAAAAGUUAGGGACAAUUUCUUAAGUAAUUGUGUGAUGCAGUAAACACAUGCAAAAAAAUAUCAAAAAUAAAGUGCACAGAGUUUUAGUCUGUGAGUAUGCUUCAGUGAAAUUAUAUCACCACUGACCACAAAAUCUUCAAAUCUGAGAGGUGAAGAAAUACUUUGUUACUAAUGGAGAAAAAACAAAUAUAAUUUGGUUGCAAACUCAUAAGUUGCUUCCUGUUCUAUAAUUUAAAAUAACUACUAUCUUAAAUUAGUAGUUUAAUGAGUGAGAGCAAUUUAGCACCUGAUAAUGCUGAGAAAUUGAUUCUGCACUGCAUUAAAUUUAAAAAAUGAGCUUUAAUAAAAUUACAGUAAUUUUUAAAUAUGAUUUCCUACUUAUUAAUGGAUUUUAGAAGCUUAUUUUAUGAUGGUAAUCUUCAGUUCAGGUCUUAGCCAAAUAAUUUCAAACCUUAGCCGUAGGCAUUUGGUCAGUAUGUGUAUUUAAGUGUACUAUGAAUGUGACUCAGUCACAUAUUACAACUGAGACAAGGCAAUCACCAAGGUCACAUACCUAAUACAGCUCCAUCUCCAGGCCACCCAUUUACCAAGUUUGUGGCCCUCAUGUAAGAGGUGACCAAGAUGCACCUGCACCAAGAGCACCAAGAGGAUUGUCUCAAUCCUUAAGAGAAAGAAGGUAAGGGCUGGGGAUGAGGGAUGCACUUAAACCAGAAAUGAGACAUGGACCUCUGUGGCUAGGAUCCUGACUUCAGAUUGCUAAUUUAUCCCAUUUUACUUAGGCCAAAAUGACAGGCUGAACACUUUUAUUGGAAAUGAAACAUUCCAGAGUUAGAAAGGUUUACUUUGGACAGUCAAGGACAGCAAUGUGUAUGUUGUUUGGUUCAUGCAAAAAUGAAUGAAAUUUUAAUACACUUAAAGUUACUUUCUACUCUGAAAAUAAUAUCAAAGUAGAGUCAAUAAAUAUUAAAUUUCCUUCCAAUUCCACAGGACCAAUUAACUAAAAACAUAAUUUUUGUACUAAAGAAUAAAAAAUUUAAAAUCUCAAAUGCUUUUUCCCAAAAGCAGAGGUCAUGGCAAAUCUUCAGAGAAAGAGCACAUUGUCUAUUUGAAAAUUCAGGCUCAAGCCUUCAAAAGAAAUGAUGGUUCAUGCUGUCAUUUCAAGUGACUACAAAGAAGAAAUCAAAGAAAGGUGUAAGGAGUCACUACUUUAAGGAUUAGUCAGAAAAGUCUUAGGAAUAACACAGCUGAAGUCUCAGAAAGGCAAGUCAUUAUAAAAGAAUGGGCAUGGAUCAUGUACUAAAUUAAUCAGUAGGUUACAGUUCACUACCUUAUAGAAUUUGGGCUUCAUUUAGAAGGCCAGAUGGUAUACAAUAGACUUUACAUUUUCACAUUAAUGCAAGAGCCUAUCAGUGAAUUCAUGUUCAUUUCCUUUAUUAACCAGCCUAUAUUAGAUUUGAUUUGUGAACUCUGGCUACAUAAGCAAAGAAGAAAGCAAGCAAGCAAGUGAUCAGAAGCUAGCUCCUAGAGGGACCUUGAGCACUCCUCGUGACAGAGACACAGAUGACACACUUCUAAUUUCUCAAACAUGCCAAGUUUGUGCGUGCCUUCUGGGUCUUUGCCUUUACUGUUCCUCCCCUCAGCCCACUUGUGGUUCCUUCUAAUCCUUCAUGUACCAGCUCAAAUGUGUUCUCUUACACAGAUGACACUUUCUAAAGUAGUUUCUCCACUGUCUCCCCACAUCAUCCUGUAUACGUUCCUGUCACUAUCAGAAGUUUGCUCAUGGCUGGGGGUGGUGGCUCAUGCCUGUAAUCCCAGCACUUUGGGAGUGUGCCAUUACGCCUGGCCAUGAUAUUGUUAAAUUAGUUAUGGUAUCUAUAGAGGUAUCAAAAAGAAUAUCAAAGACAUUUUUUCUAUUAUUGAGUGAAAUAAGCAGAUUACAGGCCAGUAUGUACGGUAUGAUCACAUUAAUGUAGAGAAAACAACAAAAACAGUAUGUUGUUGUGUAAGUUUAGAAGAAAAUAAAACAAACAAGAUAUUAAAAAUAGUAGCUGUCAAUUUACUUUUAACUUUUUCCUCCAAGUUACCUCUGCCACGCCUCCUCCCCCACCUUUGCUAUAUGAGAGAAAAUUUGGACAAGAACAACUUCAGGUGACUACAAAGGAGUGAUACUUUUUCUCAGCCUAGCUGUGGUAAAGAAUGCCUUAUUUUCAUCCUUAUGCUCUUUCACAUAUGAUUCCAAAGUGUACAUAUCCAAAUGCCUACUUUACCUCUCAAGAUAUCAUUGCCAACAAAGUUAUUACCCCUCUAAGAUCCUAAUAUUUCAAAACAAACAGCAUUAAAUCUUAGUUUUGACUGUUCACUGUGUAAAUCAGACUAUUUCAGGUCUGAACUAUGCCUUUUUAAAAUUUCCCUUUUAAAAAAAUCUUUAUGGAACAACUACAAUUUUUCAACAGACAGUGAUAACUACUCCCUACUUUAAAUACAGGUUGGACAACUCAUACACAAAACAACAGUAUAAUCUUGUAGUACUUCAAUUUCAUUCUACUCUCUAUGUUUGAAGAAAGAAAAACAUUAUAACUGAGUUCACAGCAGCUUUGUUUUACCUUAACACAAGUUACCAGUGUAUACAUAAGAAGCUGUGAACAACAGAAGCUGUUUAUGAUAUUCAGAUACAAAGCUGUUGAGAAAGUCUCAACAAUGCCAGUCAAAGAGCAAAACAUCUGGUUAGUUUUCAAACUAAGUGAGCUGCUUUGCCCUCCAUGCCAACUAUUAAGCAAUAGGCCCUUGAUGUCUUUCCCAUUCAUUACUGACGAACAUAGCAGUUCUCAACAUUCUCACUAGUCCCAUGAUCACUCAAUUUUUUUCCCUUUUCUUUUAAAUAACUCUAUUUGGUUACAGAUUAAAUGAGCAAGUUGACAGCACACAAGUUUUCUUUAAGUUCUUAAUUUUUAAGAAGUACUGUGUAACUUUAUUUUCUAAUUUUGGUAUUUUUUUCAAUAAAAUGUUUUUCAAAACAUUUAAACAAAUCAUGUAAUAGCUGACCUGGUAUCGAAUGCUGUACUUCAGACAUUCCUAAACUAUUAUUUUUUAUAUUUUAAACUAAGUUUAAACAAAAACUUUGUUAUUACAGAAUGAAUAUCCAAGGAUCUUAAAGAAAUCAUUCAAAGUGUGAUACAGUCUAGUGUUUAUUUUAUGUUAUGGCAGGUACACUUGAAUUUCAAAAAUUUAAAACAUAUAUAAAAAGUGGUUAGGGACUAACAUUUGUAUCAACAGUUGAUAAAUGUCUAAGAUUGUUUAUUAUACAGCAGGGUACAAUGGUAGUGCUAAUGCCAACAGGGCACCAUGGAAGUUAGUCUAAAAAUUAUCCCUAGGCUUUAUACAAGCAACAACAUAUGCUGCUGUUUUUAGAAUUUUGGGAAAUGAUCUGCUUCUAACACUAAGCAGUUCUUUAACAUUUUAAAAUGUUAUACAGUGUUAUAGUAUUUAGUUUGGCAAAUGUUUCAAAAUAAAGUAGAAAUGUAUUCAUAACAUCACAGAAAUGCACAUCCAAUUUUGUUUUCAAUAAGAACCAUAGGUACAGAUCAGAACUCUUCCCUAUAUGAAAUAAUUUACACACAGAUGAAUGCUAUAAUAUCACUAUCUAAAAUAAUCACUAAAUACAAUUCUUUUUCAGAAAUAAACAAGCAAAGAUUUUUUUCAUUAUCAAAUAUCAAAAACAUGUUGAUAAUGUAUGUUGUUCAAAUAAAUGAUACUCUAAAAUUAUAGGAAUAAUCUCAGUGAAUUCAGUGAAUGUGCAACCUAAAUCAACCGGUAUACUGUAGUACAACCAUAUUAAGAAACCAAUGAUCAGAAAAUACAACCGUAUGAAAGAAAUUUAUAAUCCACAAAACUUUUUCAGGCCUUAAGGUAAAAUAGUUCCACAGUCUACAGGUAAAACCAAGGCAACAAAAACGCGUGCUUGUCUUGAAUAAGUAGGUAUUUUAUGCAGAA